rnacentral:rRNA from 1 species
AACGCGAAGAACCUUACCAGGGUUUGACAUCCUGCGACCGCUCCCUAAUAGGAGUUUUCCCGCAAGGGACGCAGAGACAGGUGCUGCAUGGCUGUCGUCAGCUCGUGUCGUGAGAUGUUGGGUUAAGUCCCGCAACGAGCGCAACCCUCGCCUUUAGUUGCCAUCAUUCAGUUGGGCACUCUAGAGGGACCGCCGGCGACAAGCCGGAGGAAGGUGGGGAUGACGUCAAGUCCUCAUGGCCCUUACACCCUGGGCUACACACGUGCUACAAUGGCGGUGACAGUGGGCAGCUACUUCGCGAGAAGCGGCUAAUCCCAAAAAACCGCCCCAGUUCAGAUUGUACUCUGCAACUCGAGUACAUGAAGGUGGAAUCGCUAGUAAUCGCAGAACAGCAGGCUGCGGUGAAUACGUUCCCGGGCCUUGUA